ensembl:misc_RNA Metazoa_SRP Metazoan signal recognition particle RNA
GUUCGGUAUGAUGGCAUGUACUUGUAGUUCUAGCUAUCUGUAAUUCAGGAGGCUGAGGAUGGAGCAUUGCUUGAGUCUAGGAGUUGUGAACUGUAGUGCAACAUUCUAAGUGGGUGUCUACACAAAAUUCAGCAUCAAUAUGAUGACCUACCAGGAAGAUGAGGACCACCAAGUUGUCUAAGGAGAGGUGAGCCAGCCUAGGUCAGAAACAAAACAGGUGAAAUUCUUGUGCUGAUCAGUAGUGGAAUCAUAACUAUGCAUAGCCACUGCACUCUAGCCUGAGCAUCGAGUAAGACUUUGUG